UCAAGGACGAACGCUGGCGGCGUGCUUCAUACAUGCAAGUCGAACGAUAAGGCACCUUCGGGUGUACAUAAGUGGCGGACGGGUGAGUAAUAUGUAGAGAAUCUGCCCUAGAGAGUGGGACAACAGUUGGAAACGACUGCUAAUACCGCAUAUGAGCGUACCUGAAAUGGUAUUCUUGAAAACUCCGGUGCUCUGGGAUGAGUCUGCAUCUGAUUAGCUAGUUGGGGGUGUAAUGGACCACCAAGGCGACGAUCAGUAGCUGGUUUGAGAGGAUGAUCAGCCACAAUGGGACUGAGACACGGCCCAUACUCCUACGGGAGGCAGCAGUAGGGAAUUUUGCGCAAUGGGGGAAACCCUGACGCCAGCAACGCCGCGUGACCGAUGAAGCCCUUCGGGGUGUAAAGGUCUGUCAGUGGGGACGAAUAUUGACGGUACCCACAGAGGAAGCAUCGGCUAACUCCGUGCCAGCCGCGGC
rnacentral:rRNA from 1 species